rnacentral:rRNA from 1 species
GACGAACGCUGGCGGCGUGCUUAACACAUGCAAGUCGAACGGAAAGGCCCUGCUUUUGUGGGGUGCUCGAGUGGCGAACGGGUGAGUAACACGUGAGUAACCUGCCCUUGACUUUGGGAUAACUUCAGGAAAAUGGGGCUAAUACCGGAUAGGAGCUCCUGCUGCAUGGUGGGGGUUGGAAAGUUUCGGCGGUUGGGGAUGGACUCGCGGCUUAUCAGCUUGUUGGUGUGGUAGUGGUUUACCAAGGCUUUGACGGGUAGCCAGCCUGGGAGGGUGACGGGACACAUUGGGACUGAGAUUGGGCCCAGACUCCUACGGGGGGCAGAAGUGGUGUAUAUUGCACAAUGGGCGGGAGCCUGAUGCAGUAACGCCGCGUGCGGAAUGACGGCCUUCGGGUUGUGAACCGCUUUCGCCUGUGACGAAGCGUGAGUGACGGUAAUGAGUAAAGAAGCACCGGCUAACUACGUG